rnacentral:rRNA from 1 species
AGUGAACGCUGGCGGUAGGCCUAACACAUGCAAGUCGAACGGCAGCACAGUAAGAGCUUGCUCUUACGGGUGGCGAGUGGCGGACGGGUGAGGAAUACAUCGGAAUCUACUUUUUCGUGGGGGAUAACGUAGGGAAACUUACGCUAAUACCGCAUACGACCUACGGGUGAAAGCAGGGGAUCUUAGGACCUUGCGCGAUUGAAUGAGCCGAUGUCGGAUUAGCUAGUUGGCGGGGUAAAGGCCCACCAAGGCGACGAUCCGUAGCUGGUCUGAGAGGAUGAUCAGCCACACUGGAACUGAGACACGGUCCAGACUCCUACGGGAGGCAGCAGUGGGGAAUAUUGGACAAUGGGCGCAAGCCUGAUCCAGCCAUACCGCGUGGGUGAAGAAGGCCUUCGGGUUGCAAAGCCCUUUUGUUGGGAAAGAAAAGCAGCAGGUUAAUACCCCGCUGUUCUGACGGUACCCAAAGAAUAAGCACCGGCUAACUUCGUG